UCCUACUCUCUGAAUAUUGUUUCCAUAAGCUCCAUUUUAUCUUCAGUUACCUCAACUUGUACAAUGUUAAGUGAGUUAUCAAAACGGUGAAUUACUGUAUUUUGUACAAUGUUGGUUAACACUUAACUUGACUAUUCUUCAUUUUGAAACAUUAGCCGGCAACCUCUCCGACAUGCUGCUCAUGACCACCUCCCCAACCAGAUGUUGUUGGUAAGCUCUCUCUUCUCCUCCUCCAUCUAUUUGCUAUGCACACAUGUAUGCAAGAUGGAAAUCCAUCUAUUUAACUCGAUUUUGCUGAAAAAUGUUUCUUUUUAUCCUGUUGGAUGUGUAGGCAGUAGAGGAAGUAUGGAUGCUAAUUUUGUUUCACUCAAUAAAAUCCUUAUGUGUGCUAAUUAUGCAUUGGCAGUAGGCAGUAGACUUAGCCAUUUGUCGAGAUGAGGACCCUACGGCACAGCGAGCCGCACUGGACGGUGGCGCAAUGCAUGAGGUACAGAACUUAAACUCCUUCAUCGUCACAUCAAUCACAACGUUUAUGUCACUAAAUAGUUAAUUUCUUAGGAAUAGAGCAUGUCUCCUUGGGCUAAACUGUAACAAAGUUCAGAAUAUUAAAGUUUAGAUUAUUAACCUUAACUUUCAUUUAUCAAAGAUCUGCACACUUUGUUUUGGAUCCACACACCUAGGCUCGUCUAAUGUGAUUGGAUCUGGCCAAAUUCCUUUUGAUGCAUCACCUGUUACUCUUUUCGGUGAAUUAUGUUAGUAGUAAUCUUGGUUAGCUAGUUGCAUGUGUGUUGUUAGCAGGAUUAGCGUGGCCGUAGCUUAGGUCAACUGGUCAAGCAUGUACCUUAUGUUUUGUCUCAUGUAAAAAUCUUAGGGCUGUGUUUAUUAAAUAAUUAAGUUCUUCUGACAGGGAACUAUGCAUCCUGAAUGGCAUAGACUCUUGGCUUCAUGAAAUGACCCAUGUCUAUGAUUCAAGGUAUCUUAGAUCUUCGAUGUCGGAUGCAAAUAAUUGCUCAAUUUCACUUCUCUACAAUGUUCAUUCUCACAUAUUUCUAUCAUUCUUUGCAGGGAUAAAGUAAGGAAAAAGAAGAAAAGAUUACUAGAAGAUUAGUUUUAGAAUUUUCUUUUAUUUCCUUGUAAUUUUUCUUUUAUUGGAUACUUGUAAAGACAUUGUAAUAUUCUUACUAUAAUAAAAAUUAUGAUUCUAUUUCA
rnacentral:lncRNA from 1 species